UUUUAUAUGGCUGGGUUAUUUUUACACUUAUUUUACAGUUCUCUUUUGUAGCCCUCACUCCCAUCUCUCACCCUCGAGGCCGCACUUUCUCUCCUCCCUUUCCUCACUUCUGCAGCCCUCUUACCCACACUUCUCUCCCACUUCCCUCCCGUAGCCCUCUCUCUCUAACCCCGAUCUGUGACUCGAAGACAUGUACAACGAGUAAUGCGUCCAGAUUUUGCUCAACAAUAAUUAAUAGAAAAGGGAAGCAAAAGGGGAGGAGUUAUGAGGCACCUAUGAAUUCACAUGAAAGUAGAGAAGACAGAGUCAUAGACAAUGAUCAUGUAUAAUUCGUGUUUUUGCAUCUGAAUCAAAUCAUGGAUCAAGAGGAUGAAAUUUCAAGUGCAAGGUGUGCAUGUAGACAAUUAUGUGCACCACUAUGAAGGUGAAGUGCAGGGAGCAUGCGGAAGGAAAGCACCCCAAAUCUGAUGUUUAUACUUGCUUCUCUCAUCUCAAAAAAUGAAUGAAUGUGGAGAUGGAUUGAGAAUAAACUGGACUUGUAACGAAUGUAAACUGGACUUAUGGCUCUGGGGCUUAGUGGCUACUUUGUUGUGGUUGUAAAAAAUGUGAUGGACUCAUGUUUUGAUUAUCUAUCAGAUUUUUUGUUGUGGCUAUAAAGAAUAUGAUAGACUUGUGUUUUGAUUACC